rnacentral:siRNA from 1 species
CAUGUGUGGCGGUGUAUUAAGU